CGGCGGACGGGUGAGUAACACGUGGAUAACCUACCUAUAAGACUGGGAUAACUUCGGGAAACCGGAGCUAAUACCGGAUAAGAUUUUGAACCGCAUGGUUCAAUAGUGAAAGACGGCCUUGCUGUCACUUAUAGAUGGAUCCGCGCCGUAUUAGCUAGUUGGUAAGGUAACGGCUUACCAAGGCAACGAUACGUAGCCGACCUGAGAGGGUGAUCGGCCACACUGGAACUGAGACACGGUCCAGACUCCUACGGGAGGCAGCAGUAGGGAAUCUUCCGCAAUGGGCGAAAGCCUGACGGAGCAACGCCGCGUGAGUGAUGAAGGUCUUCGGAUCGUAAAACUCUGUUAUCAGGGAAGAACAAACGUGUAAGUAACUGUGCACGUCUUGACGGUACCUGAUCAGAAAGCCACGGCUAACUACGUGCCAGCAGCCGCGGUAAUACGUAGGUGGCAAGCGUUAUCCGGAAUUAUUGGGCGUAAAGCGCGCGUAGGCGGUUUUUUAAGUCUGAUGUGAAAGCCCACGGCUCAACCGUGGAGGGUCAUUGGAAACUGGAAAACUUGAGUGCAGAAGAGGAAAGUGGAAUUCCAUGUGUAGCGGUGAAAUGCGCAGAGAUAUGGAGGAACACCAGUGGCGAAGGCGACUUUCUGGUCUGUAACUGACGCUGAUGUGCGAAAGCGUGGGGAUCAAACAGGAUUAGAUACCCUGGUAGUCCACGCCGUAAACGAUGAGUGCUAAGUGUUAGGGGGUU
rnacentral:rRNA from 1 species